rnacentral:rRNA from 1 species
AAAUUGAAGAGUUUGAUCAUGGCUCAGAUUGAACGCUGGCGGCAGGCCUAACACAUGCAAGUCGAACGGUAACAGAAAGCAGCUUGCUGCUUUGCUGACGAGUGGCGGACGGGUGAGUAAUGUCUGGGAAACUGCCUGAUGGAGGGGGAUAACUACUGGAAACGGUAGCUAAUACCGCAUAACGUCGUCG